GACGAACGCUGGCGGCGUGCUUAACACAUGCAAGUCGAACGAUGAACCGGAGCUUGCUCUGGGGAUCAGUGGCGAACGGGUGAGUAACACGUGGGCAACCUGCCCCAGACACCGGGAUAACCAUUGGAAACGAUGGCUAAUACCGGAUACGACCACUUCGGGCAUCCGAUGGUGGUGGAAAGGAUUCUGGUCUGGGAUGGGCCCGCGGCCUAUCAGCUUGUUGGUGGGGUAAUGGCCUACCAAGGCGACGACAGGUAGCCGGCCUGAGAGGGCGACCGGGCACGCGGGGACUGAGACACGGCCCAGGCUCCUACGGGAGGCAGCAGUGGGGAAUAGUGCGCAAUGGGCGAAAGCCUGACGCAGCGACGCCGCGUGAGGGACGAAGGUCUUCGGAUUGUAAACCUCUUUCAGCAGGGAUGAAGCGAAUGUGACAGUACUUGCAGAAGAAGCACCGGCUAACUACGUGCCAGCCGCCGCGGUAAGAC
rnacentral:rRNA from 1 species